AUGUAUCUUAGGAUUCAAGGAAAGACUGAGGACAUAAGUGCAAGGUAACUAGGUUUUCUCUCGGGAACCCAAGAUGAAAUAAAAGAAGGAAAAAUCGUGCGGGCAAAACUAAAGUUAUUUGGCGUCAUUCCAAUUUGAAUAAAUGUAUUAACUAGAAACGAUGGAUUGUAACGAACAAUGUGUUGUGUAAUAAUAUAUAUGUUAGUAUGUUU
rnacentral:lncRNA from 1 species